AUUUUCCUAGCAGCUUAUUUUCAAUACUACAUAAAAGUUCGAGAACUGUAUAGAAAGAGGAGGUACAGUAGAUGCACCCCAUAUACACCUCAACCCAGGGGCUUUGCCUGGUCUGUAUUGUGAAUGGGGGAACAAAA